GACGAACGCUGGCGGCGUGCUUAACGCAUGCAAGUCGAACGGAAAGGCCCUGCUUUUGUGGGGUGCUCGAGUGGCGAACGGGUGAGUAACACGUGAGUAACCUGCCCUUGACUUUGGGAUAACUUCAGGAAACUGGGGCUAAUACCGGAUAGGAGCUCCUGCUGCAUGGUGGGGGUUGGAAAGUUUCGGCGGUUGGGGAUGGACUCGCGGCUUAUCAGCUUGUUGGUGGGGUAGUGGCUUACCAAGGCUUUGACGGGUAGCCGGCCUGAGAGGGUGACCGGCCACAUUGGGACUGAGAUACGGCCCAGACCCCUACGGGAGGCAGCAGUGGGGAAUAUUGCACAAUGGGCGGAAGCCUGAUGUAGCAACGCCGCGUGCGGGAUGACGGCCUUCGGGUUGUAAACCGCUUUCGCCUGUGACGAAGCGUGAGUGACGGUAAUGGGUAAAGAAGCACCGGCUAACUACGUG
rnacentral:rRNA from 1 species